UGAAGGUGAAGUCGUUACAAGGUCUCCGUUGGUGAACCAGCGGAGGGAUCAUUAC
rnacentral:rRNA from 1 species